rnacentral:rRNA from 1 species
GAUGAACGCUGGCGGCGUGCCUAAUACAUGCAAGUCGAGCGAGCAGACGAGGAGCUUGCUCCUCUGACGUUAGCGGCGGACGGGUGAGUAACACGUGGAUAACCUACCUAUAAGACUGGGAUAACUUCGGGAAACCGGAGCUAAUACCGGAUAAUAUAUUGAACCGCAUGGUUCAAUAGUGAAAGACGGUUUUGCUGUCACUUAUAGAUGGAUCCGCGCCGCAUUAGCUAGUUGGUAAGGUAACGGCUUACCAAGGCAACGAUGCGUAGCCGACCUGAGAGGGUGAUCGGCCACACUGGAACUGAGACACGGUCCAGACUCCUACGGGAGGCAGCAGUAGGGAAUCGUCCGCAAUGGGCGAAAACCUGACGGAGCAACGCCGCGUGAGUGAUGAAGGUCUUCGGAUCGUAAAACUCUGUUAUUAGGGAAGAACAAAUGUGUAAGUAACUAUGCACGUCUUGACGGUACCUAAUCAGAAAGCCACGGCUAACUACGUG